AUUUUUGAAUAUACAUUUUUACAUAUUUGUGUUUGGAAUUGAUACAUAUAUGGAAAUGGAAACUUAAGGCUAAAAUACACAUAACUCAAUUCGCAGGGCAGCAAUGCUUGAAUCAAAAUCUAUGCAGCUCAAUAAGAAGACAUAUAAAAUAUGAGAUAUAUGACAAUUUUCGCUUUGUAUAAUGUUACAAAAUUCCUAAACAACGACAUAUGGCAAAAUUUAUUCAUUAUUUGUUUGAUGACCACCAAAAAUAAAAUUAAUUUAAAGAUUUGUUUUAGGAAACUACAAUAAAUGUCUUAUCUGUAUAUAAUAUUAAAUUUAACGCGAAGGCCUCAGUACCCGGUGAA